rnacentral:rRNA from 1 species
UACGUAGGUGGCAAGCGUUGUCCGGAUUUACUGGGCGUAAAGAGCGCGCAGGCGGUCGUUCAAGUCGCGUGUGAAAGCCCCCGGCUCAACUGGGGAGGGUCAUUCGAUACUGAUCGACUCGAAGGCAGGAGAGGGUAGUGGAAUUCCCGGUGUAGUGGUGAAAUGCGUAGAUAUCGGGAGGAACACCAGUGGCGAAGGCGACUACCUGGCCUGUUCUUGACGCUGAGGCGCGAAAGCUA